rnacentral:tRNA from 1 species
GGGGUUGUAGUUUAAAAUAUAACAUUUAAUUUGCAAUUAAAAGAUACUAAAAAUUUAAGAAUAGUCUACCUCA